CCGAGCUUACAACUCCCAAACCCCUGUGAACAUACCACUUGUUGCCUCGGCGGAUCAGCCCGCUCCCGGUAAAACGGGACGGCCCGCCAGAGGACCCCUAAACUCUGUUUCUAUAUGUAACUUCUGAGUAAAACCAUAAAUAAAUCA
rnacentral:misc_RNA from 1 species